CCUACGGGUGGCUGCAGUAGGGAAUAUUGCUCAAUGGGGGAAACCCUGAAGCAGCAACGCCGCGUGGAGGAUGAAGGUUUUAGGAUUGUAAACUCCUUUUGUGAGAGAAGAUAAUGACGGUAUCUCACGAAUAAGCACCGGCUAACUCCGUGCCAGCAGCCGCGGUAAUACGGAGGAUGCGAGCGUUAUCCGGAUUUAUUGGGUUUAAAGGGGGCGCAGGCGGAAGAUCAAGUCAGCGGGAAAGUCGAGAGGCGAAACCUCUUCGAGCCGUUGAAACUGGUUGUCUUGAGUGAGCGAGAGGUAUGCGGAAUGCGUGGUGUAGCGGUGAAAUGCAUAGAUAUCACGCAGAACUCCGAUUGCGAAGGCAGCAUACCGGCGCUCAACUGACGCUGAUGCACGAAAGUGUGGGUAUCGAACAGGAUUAGAUACCCCUGUAGUC
rnacentral:rRNA from 1 species